AACACAGGGGAGUCGAGAUGUAACCGCCAUGGGGUAGGAAGCCCGGCUGUUCUCUGACAGGGUUUCUCUGUGGAAUGUGACUUGUCAGGGAAGGCAGCUGACACAAUGACCCCAGUCCCUAAGUGACUGAAAUGGAGCAGAAGAGACAGCCACUGUCACCACAUGGUGAGAAAAAUGCUUGGAUGAGCAGGAGGCAUUCACCCUCAGGUCUGUCGCUUCCCUGGUGUCUGUGACGAGGCCGCAGCCCAUGCUGCAGAAAGACGAGACAGCAUAUAUGGCUCCCAUCGGUGUCCCAUGUGUUGCUCUGCCUUCUGAGUCCGCUCAAAUGUAAGUGCUUGGUCUUGGAGGGACCAACCUGCUAAAACUCACCAGAAGCCAACCUUCCAGCACAGCAGUCAGCAGCAAAACUGUGGUGCCACUUCUGUGGGUGUCUAUAAUGCCAAGAGGCCUGCCAGCCUCAAAUGAGUUCUCAGCCCAAGUGACUCACCCGGACAGUAGCAUUGCCAAGCCUUGCCUACACCUGGCACCUGUGUGGUGACUUGUAUUCCCAGCCUCAUAAAGCGCUCACGAGGUACUCUUACAUGAUUUUGAUUCUGGAAACAGGGGAGGUGUGAUCUCCUGCUUAUGGGUGGGAACUGAGGUCCAGAGAGCACGGUUCACUUGCUUAAAGUCACACGGAUUUGUUGUCAGUACUGGCAAGGUGUCCCAGAGGAGACAGCAUCGCUAGGCCAGGCCUGUUUCCACCAUAUUACCCUUGUCAUUGGAGUUGUUAGGGCCAGAGCCUGGGCCCUCGGAGCCCCAGCAAGCUGAUAGGCGCUCUGUCCUCAAUCUGCCAAUUCAAGAGAUGCCUAACAGUGAAACACUGAAACUUUUUCAGUGCGGGUCACUCUGUGGAGAGGAACACACAGGAAGGUACAGUAAGUCCAAGUCCAAGUCCAUCUCUGAGGUAUACACCCGUGGCCUGGGUUUCAAUAGAAAAUAAGAGGUCUGCAUAGCUAAGCAGAUCUGGCCAAGGUGUGGUCCCAUGUACUGCUGUUUCAGUUCCAAUCUUUCCCCAAGAUGAUCUGAAAAGUUGUCAGAACUGGGUGAGAUCUCUUCCCGGAGCAUGACUCUCCUGAGGUAAUCCCAGCUCCUGGGGAUCCAUUGUCUCAACAGCCGAAUAGACCAAGGGUGGGGCACGUCUCUUCAUUCCUACCAGGACAGUUCCAUCCUCUCUCUCAGUCCUGAGACCUGGCAUGUCACCGAGCGGCCUGAUACCACUUUGUGUUGUCUCCCCAGGACACUCAGUUCUAGGGCUGGGUGACUCCAGUGUGAGUCACCUUUGUCCCAGCUAGGGAAGCACACUCACACCUGACCUCCCCAGCCUCCACUGGUCAGGGUAAACUGUGGAAUGGGUGCCCCUCCCCUUCUGGGACCCCCCCCCUUUCCAUGCUCGCCUUGGUAUUUGGACCCUUCUGUGUACUCUGGGUCCUCUUAUGUCUGUUUUCUAUCUCAAGACACAUGUCCCCAGGGUCUCUGGUUCUCUGGGCUCCCAAAUAGGUUUGGCCAAAAGCAGGUAGUAGUGCAGAGCAGGAGGGCAGAGUAGAAGCUAGCUUGAGGGAGAAGCAUGGCCUGGUGACCUGAGCUCAGACCCUUCCAGAACUGCUCUGAUUUCUGUUUCAGUCUUUUGCUGCCAUUUCCUACCGCUUCUUCUACGAUGAUGUUGGUGAUGCUGGAGCCUUCCACCUGCUGCCUCAACAUUUUGUUCAGCCCCUCUGGCUCCUGCUGGGUCAUGGCUGAUAAUAAUGAUUUCUGGGGGACAGCACCAAGUCAUCUUCUACACCAAGUGUGUCUGAUCCCUUGGCACUCCAGUUACAGACAGUUGUGAGCUGCUGCGUGGGUCCUGGGAACUAACCUAGUUCCUCUACAAGAGCAACAAGUGCUCUUCGCUGGGAACCCCGGAAUCAGUUCAAGCACCCCAAGACCAAGUUCUCAGAACAAAGGAGAUUUAUUUGCCCAGAGGGGCAGAGUGCAGAGAAUAAGAGACAAAGACAGGAGACAGAGGAAGAGGGAGAUGGUGGAGGCUUAUUUGUCCCACAUGGACAAAGAACUCUGGAUAGAGAGGAGAAAGAUUGGUCCAUAGGCAAAUGGCAGUUUAUAAAGGUAAAGCAGGAAACCCCAUGUUAGGAAGAACAGCCAAAGGGAGGUUUUGAUUGAUGUAUUCCUGUGAUGCCUUUUUUGGUUGUCAACUUGACUGCAUCUGGAAUCAACUAAAACCCCAAAAUGAUUGAGCACACCUGUGAGGGAUUUUUUAUUUUCUCUUCACCCCCUUUUCUUCUUUGAGACCAGGUUUCUCUGUGUAGCCCUGGCUUUCCUGGAAUUGGCUCUUGUAGAUCAGGGUGGCCUCUAACUCAGAGAUCAGCCUGCUUCUGCCUCCCAAGUCCUGGGAUUAAAGGCAUGGGCCACUACCUCCUGGUUUGCUUAAUCACUGGAAGGAGAAAGACUCAGUUCUAACCUGGGUAUUUGAGGCCCUUUAAUCUGGGCCACACUUCAUACUGGAAGCCUAUGUAAAGGACACGGGAGAAGGAGCAUUGCUCUCUUUGCCUGUUGGUUUUCACUGGCAAGGCUUUUCCUUCACUGGCAUUAGCGCCUACGUCUUCAGGACUCCAGCAAGUACAUCCGGCCUCAUGGACUGAACACCUACUGGAUUCUUGGACCUUCUGUUGACAGACAGCCAUUGUUGGACUAGCUCAGUAGUUUUCAACCUUCCUAAUGCUGCAACCCUCCAAUAUAGUUCUUCAUG